rnacentral:lncRNA from 1 species
CCCUCCCAGCCAUCCAGCCUUUGAGGGAGCUUCUAGGAUCUGACCUGUUGGGAUGGAUCACUCGCUGGACCUCCAUGUAUCCUGUCAGGUCCCUUCAGCCCCUUUCCUCCAGGCAGUACUUUUGGACCCACAGCACCCAGCUGCUCAAGGAUCUUCCAAAUGCAAGGUAGAAGAUAGGGAUCUGAGAAGUCCGGUCACCGGCUCAUAACGGCUGCUGUUUGCUAGGGCACUGCCGCAGACCGGACGCUCUGAUUUCAGGUUGGUUACUUCCUCUUCUUUCUUUCUUUUUUAAAAGAAAUCCUCUUCUCUUUUACCUAUGCUUUUCUGCCUUCCUUCAUCGAAAACAAUUCAUAAAUCAUAUUGUCUAUGAAGCUGUCUCAUCGCUGAGAAAAGGAAGUAAUGACAGCCUCCUGUAUUUCCUGUCUUCUCACUUCCCUCCCCCUUCGCCGGCACCCAGCCACCCCCACCAAGGAAGGGAACCUAACACUUGACUCCCUUUGUUCUUCUCCACCAAAAAAAUACCUGUAAAAAGGACUGCUUAUAAAUGAGCAAAAUGUACAGGUGUGCCUUACAGUAUGGAAUAAAAAUGUUCUUGCAAACUGUGCA